GUGGAAUGUGAUGAGAAACCACUAAGGAAAUAUUUAGAACCUUCCUUAAGACAUUUUCUCACCAUCUUUAUUCGGCUAAGACUAAGGAAUUAGAGGAAAAGAAGGGAGAACCUAGCCAAACUAAGUCCAUCUCUUCAUUCUUAUGAAUUUCAGUGUUAUUUUGAUUAAAAGGAUGAUGCUAAGUUUAAGUAGCUUUAUUACCCAUGUCAAGAGAGGUUAAUUUGGAGACUUGAUUGUCGUCAAGGUGGGGUCUUGGAAGGAGAAAGCUAAGGAAACUCUUGGAGAAGGAGCAAGUAAAGGAAAGACUAAAGUGGUAGAUUGAUAGCUUGAAAGGUGGGAAUUGGUAUUUUGGAAGCUUAAUCAAGAAAUCGACCUCGUUUGAAAUAAAAACAGUUGCCAGAAAUCCAUGGCACUAGUGAAAGUGCAAGUGUCAGAAGACUGAUAAAGUGAGGAAGAGAUGACAAUCACUGCAGGUUGCAGAAGCUGAAAGUCGAGUGCAUCUUUGGGAACUGGCAAAGACUUGCUGUUGUUUGAAGCCCCCCACUGAUUUUAAAAUGUACCAACCAAAAGUGAAAACAAAGGAUGAAUGGUUUUAAAAUCUGUCAAUGCUUGAGAUUAGCUCUAUUGUUUUUUUCUU